rnacentral:rRNA from 1 species
UAAGCCGCUGGUAGUAGACCCGAAGCGGAGGUGAUCUACUCAUGGUCAGGUUGAAGGUUGCUUAACCGCAACUGGAGGACCGAACAGGUGAAUGUUGAAAAAUUCUCUGAUGAACUGUGAGUAGGAGCGAAAGACUAAUCAAACCCCGUGAUAGCUGGUUCUCUCCGAAAUAGCUUGAGGGCUAGCCUCGUGCGCUGACUUGUGGAGGUAAAGCACUGGAUGGACUAUGGUCCCUAACGGGAUACUGAAUCCAACCAAACUCUGAAUGCCACAGGGUGCAGCACGGGAGUCAGACGGUGGGGGAUAAGCUUCAUCGUCGAAAGGGAAACAGCCCAGACCGACAGCUAAGGUGCCUAAAUACCGCUUAGUGGAAAGGAUGUUAGGUUUCUAUAACAGUGAGGAUGUUGGCUUAGAGGCAGCCAUCAUUUAAACAGUGCGUAAUAGCUGACUCAUCGAGAGACUUGGCGCCGAAAAUGAUUGGCGAUCAAGCGGUAUACCGAAGCUGCGGAUACAUAUGAAUUUCGAUUUAUAUGCAUGGUAGGAGAGCGUUCUUGGUGCUGUGAAGCGGUAGGGAAACCAUCCGUGGAGCGCCCGGAAGUGAGGAUGCAGACAUGAGUAGCGAUAAGACAGGUUGAAUUCCUGUCCGCCGUAAACCCAAGGUUUCCUGGGGAAGGUUCGUCCUCCCAGGGUUAGUCGGGAUCUAAGUCGAGGCCGUAUGGCGUAGGCGAUGACCAGCAGGUUCAAUAUUCCUGCACCACCGACAUUUUAACCGGGAUACGCAAGAACAGAGACAGUCCAGGUGCUGAUUAUCCUGGUCCCGCAAGGGGACGUGAGGGCGCAAGCUCGAGCGGAUCUGUUGACGUUUUUGCCGAGAAAAGUCCCGGCGUAUACUAAGGUGCCCGUACCGGAAACCGACACAGGUGGGUGAGUAGAAUAUACUAAGGCGCGUGAGUGAAAUCUCUUGAAGGAACUCGGCAAGUUAGCCCCGUAACUUCGGAAGAAGGGGCGCCCCUCGCAAGAGGGGCUGCAAUAAAAUGAGUCAACCGACUGUUUAACAAAAACACAGCUCUCUGCUAAGUCGCAAGACGACGUAUAGGGAGUGACACGUGACCAAUGCGGAAAGAUUACGGUAAGGGGUCAGCCGCAAGGCGAAGCUCUGAGCCCAAGUCCCCGUGAAUGUCGGCCGUAACUAUAACGGUCCUAAGGUAGCGAAAUUCCUUGUCGGGUAAGUUCCGACCUGCACGAAUCGUGUAACGAGUUGACUGCUGUCUCCAAGAGAAGCUCAGCGAAGUUGUAGUGGCGGUGAAGAUGCCGCCUACCCGCAGCAGGACGGAAAGACCCC